rnacentral:lncRNA from 1 species
UAAAAAAGGCUUUAACAUCGAUGUAUUGUUGUGCCAAGCGUUAAAUUUUCGCAACAUUUACGAGAAAAUCUAGUAACAGUGAUCG